rnacentral:tRNA from 1 species
CGGGAUAGCUCAGUCGGUAGAGCAGAGGACUGAAAAUCCUC